GUUGAACGCUGGCGGCAGGCCUAAUACAUGCAAGUCGAGCGGAUGAAGGGGAAUUUCCCCUGGUUUCAGUGGCGGGCGGGCGGGUAAUGCCUAGGUGUAUGCCUGGUUGUGGGGGCUGACGUCCUGUCGCGAACGCUAAUAUAACAUCCGUCAUGAGUUUGAAAGUGUGGGUUCUUCGGACAACACGAUUUUUGAUGAGCCUAGGUCGGAUUACCUAGUUGGGGGGGUAAAGGCCUACCAAGGCGACGAUCCGUGACAGGUCUGAGAGGAUGAUCAGUCACAAUGGAACUGAGACACGGUCCAGACUCCUACGGGAGGCAGCAGUUGGGAAUCUUGCACAAUGGGCGAAAGCCUGAUCGAGCCACGCCGGGUGGGGUAAGAAGGUCUUCGGAUUGGAAAACACUUUAAGUUGGGAAGAAGGGUAGGAGAAGGAUACAUUGCUGUUUUGACGGUACCAAAAGAAAAAGCACCGGCUAACUUCGUG
rnacentral:rRNA from 1 species